rnacentral:rRNA from 1 species
UACGAAGGGGGCUAGCGUUGCUCGGAAUUACUGGGCGUAAAGCGCACGUAGGCGGUCUUUUAAGUCGGGGGUGAAAUCCUGGAGCUCAACUCCAGAACUGCCUCGAUACUGGAAGACUCGAGUCCGGGAGAGGUGAGUGGAACUGCGAGUGUAGAGGUGAAAUUCGUAGAUAUUCGCAAGAACACCAGUGGCGAAGGCGGACUCACUGGCCCGGUACUGACGCUGAGGUGCGAAAGCGUGGGGAGCA